rnacentral:rRNA from 1 species
GACGAACGCUGGCGGCGUGCCUAAUACAUGCAAGUUGAGCGCUGAAGGUUGGUACUUGUACCAACUGGAUGAGCAGCGAACGGGUGAGUAACGCGUGGGGAAUCUGCCUUUGAGCGGGGGACAACAUUUGGAAACGAAUGCUAAUACCGCAUAAAAACUUUAAACACAAGUUUUAAGUUUGAAAGAUGCAAUUGCAUCACUCAAAGAUGAUCCCGCGUUGUAUUAGCUAGUUGGUGAGGUAAAGGCUCACCAAGGCGAUGAUACAUAGCCGACCUGAGAGGGUGAUCGGCCACAUUGGGACUGAGACACGGCCCAAACUCCUACGGGAGGCAGCAGGAGGGAAUCUUCGGCAAUGGACGAAAGUCUGACCGAGCAACGCCGCGGGAGUGAAGAAGGGUUUCGGAUCGUAAAACUCGGUUGGUAGAGAAGAACGUUAGUGAGAGUGGAAAGCUCAUCAAGUGACGGUAACUACCCAGAAAGGGACGGCUAACUACGUG